rnacentral:tRNA from 1 species
GGAGAGGUGGCAGAGUCCGGUUGAAUGCGCACGACUCGAAAUCGUGUAUACCGCAAGGUAUCGAGGGUUCGAAUCCCUCCCUCUCCGCCA